GAUGAACGCUGGCGGCGUGCCUAAUACAUGCAAGUCGAGCGAACGGACGAGAAGCUUGCUUCUCUGAUGUUAGCGGCGGACGGGUGAGUAACACGUGGAUAACCUACCUAUAAGACUGGGAUAACUUCGGGAAACCGUAGCUAAUACCGGAUAAUAUUUUGAACCGCAUGGUUCAAAAGUGAAAGACGGUCUUGCUGUCACUUAUAGAUGGAUCCGCGCUGCAUUAGCUAGUUGGUAAGGUAACGGCUUACCAAGGCAACGAUGCAUAGCCGACCUGAGAGGGACAUCGGCCACACUGGAACUGAGACACGGUCCCGACUCCUACGGGAGGCAGCAGUAGGGAAUCUUACGCAAUGGGCGAAAGCCUGACGGAGCAACGCCGCGUGAGUGAUGAAGGUCUUCGGAUCGUAAAGCUCUGUUAUUAGGGAAGAACAUAUGUGUAAGUACCUGUGCACAUCUUGACGGUACCUAAUCAGAAAGCCCCGGCUAACUACGUG
rnacentral:rRNA from 1 species